rnacentral:rRNA from 1 species
AGGAUGAACGUUGGCGGUGUGUCUAAUACAUGCAAGUCGAACGGUGACGAUUUUGUAGCAAUACGAAUGAAAUCAUAGUGGCGAACGGGUGAGUAACGCGUUGGUGAUCUGCCUCGAAGUGUGGAAUAACUUCCCGAAAGGGUAGCUAAUACCGCAUAGUCUCUCAAGGUUUAGAAAAUUGAGAGUAAAGGAUUUAUUCGCUUCGAGAGGAGCCUGCGUCCCAUCAGCUAGUUGGUAGGGUAAUAGCCUACCAAGGCAAUGACGGGUAGGGGACCUGAGAGGGUGGCCCCCCACAAUGGAACUGAAACACGGUCCAUACACCUACGGGUGGCAGCAGUAGGGAAUAUUAGAAAUGGGCGAAAGCCUGAUCUAGCAACACCGCGUGUGCGAUGAAGGCCUUCGGGUUGUAAAGCACUUUUUGGAGGGAAUAGGAAGGAAGGUACCUCCAGAAUAAGUCUCGGCUAACUACGUGCCAGCAGCCGCGGUAACACGUAGGAGGCAAACGUUAUCCGGAUUCACUGGGCGUAAAGCGCGUGUAGGUGGUUCUGUAAGUAGGGCGUGAAAGCUCCCGGCUCAACUGGGAGAGGCCGUACUAAACUGCAGAGCUAGAGGAUGGUAGAGGGAGGUGGAAUUCCAGGUGUAGUGGUGAAAUGCGCAGAUAUCUGGAGGAACACCAGUGGCGAAGGCGGCCUCCUGGACCAUUCCUGACACUCAGACGCGAAAGCUAGGGUAGCAAACGGAAUUAGAGACUCCGGUAGUCCUAGCCCUAAACGAUGCAGAGUAGGCGUCGGCGGUUUAAAUCACCGUCGGUGUCCAAGCUAACGCGAUAAGUCUGCCGCCUGAGGACUACGGCCGCAAGGCUAAAACUCAAAGGAAUAGACGGGUCCCCGCACAAGCAGCGGAGCGUGUGGUUUAAUUUGAUGCUCCGCGAAGAACCUUACCUGGGUUUGACAUAACAGUGGUAGAGAAGUGAAAACGGAUCGACCCUUCGGGGAGCUGUUACAGGUGUUGCAUGCCUGUCGUCAGCUCGUGUCGUGAGAUGUUCGGUUAAGUCCGCUAACGAGCGCAACCCGCGCUGUGUGUUACAAGUGUCACACAGUACUGCCGGUAUUAAGUCGGAGGAAGGUGCGGAUGACGUCAAGUCAGCAUGACCUUUAUAUUCAGGGGUACACACACGCUACAAUGGUCAGAACAAUAGGUUGCCAAGCCGCAAGGCGGAGCCAAUCCUCCAAAUCUGGCCUCAGUUCAGAUUGCAGGCUGCAACUCGCCUGCAUGAAGUCGGAGUUGCUAGUAACCGCAGGUCAGCAUACUGCGGUGAAUAAGUUCCCGGGGAUUGUACACACCGCCCGUCA